UACGGAGGAUGCAAGCGUUAUCCGGAUUUAUUGGGUUUAAAGGGUGCGCAGGUUGUUUGAUAAGUCAGUGGUGAAAGUCUGUCGCUUAACGGUAGGAUUGCCAUUGAUACUGUUGGACUUGAAUAUGGAUGAGGUAGGCGGAAUGUGUAGUGUAGCGGUGAAAUGCAUAGAUAUUACACAGAACACCGAUUGCGAAGGCAGCUUACUAAUCCAUCAUCGACGUUGAGGCACGAAAGCGUGGGGAUCAAACAGGAUUA
rnacentral:rRNA from 1 species